CAGACACUUAACCAACUGAGCCACUUAGGCCGCCUCACUGAAUGUGGUGCUCAGAGUAGUGAUGAAAAAUUCAUAGAUUAACACUUGAUGCCAGACUGAGAGAGCAAGCACAAGUGGGAACAGCAGAGAGAGAGG